ensembl:lncRNA
UUAUGUUUGAUAUUAAAGGGCAGCAAAAAAUAGUAGGCGGAUCAUCAUCUAAUGUGAUGCCACAUUUAUGUCAGGUUUAUUAGAAUAUUCCAGUUCCUUGCAGGAAGUGCACAUACCAAGUUUAAAUAAGUUUGAUUAAAAGGUUUUACAUAAAAUUCAAACUUGCUUUCACUAUUUCUUAUACAGAGACACCUGAUACAUAUAGUGCCAGUCAAGGCUAAACACACAGAGGAAUUCAGCAAUUAAUUGAGGGGCUCUACUUUAGUGUGAGGCACCGGAAGCGAACCCUCUACCGCCAGAAUGACAGCAGCAAGUUUCGCCAUCGCCUUCGAAGAAAGCUGGCAGAAGACAAAAAACUCCUUCUUCAGGAGAUACAGAAAUACAAUGAUCUUGUACUAGAAUCGGCAACAACCAUUGACGUAGCUGUGGUGGAGCAUUCCCUAACUGGAGAGAGUACUGUGUCUCAAAUAUGGCCGUGGGAAGUUCAUGGCAGUGGUAUGUCUGUUUUUAGAUGCUUCACAGGAAUUUAUUUUCAGUUCUGCUUUAUAGAGUAUACUGAACUAAGGCAUGCAUGUUACAUAUUGAGUGUUGUAAUAUUAAUUUAGUUUAUUGGUGUAUUUUCAGUUUUCUUAUGUAUCAAUUUGAUAAAAAAGUAAAUGUUUGUAGUGAUUAUGCAAGAUUGUCUCAUGUUUACAUAUAACUGUUAUUGAUUCUUAGCAAACAUUUCAAUCAAGAAACGAGUGCACGAUCAAGUGAUGUUAACAAGGCGACUGCAUGAGGAAACAAGAGUUUUGGUUUUGGAGAUGGCACAACACUGCACAUGGUUGCAGAGCCUGGCAAUGGUUCUCAAGAACAAGUUGGCUGAGGAGGGUAAGUUUAAUUAAAACCCUGUCCAUCUAAUGUGUUAAAAAAACACACAAAAAAAACACAUCAGUCACAGAACUUGAUGGAGUAGAACGCUUAUUGCUCUCUUUGCCGAGGUCCUUUAACACAUACAUAAAAUGGGGAUUAAAAUUGUUACUGUAGCUAUGGUUACAAGUCAGUAAGGCUAUAAAGAUUCACAUUUGCUUGAAGAUGUGCAGAUUUGUUGUACUAUGGCUGUUACUUGAAAGCAUAAAUGAACAAAAUAAUUUGAACAUUGAAAUUUGUGUCCUGAUGUGUUACACGUGGUUAGCAUAACAUCAAGAUUAAUCUUAUUAUUAUCAUCUCCUCCAGUCAACAUAGAAAACCUUGCUGGUCAGCAAGUAACAAAAUGUGUUAUUUCGGCACAACUGUAGUGAAGAAGAAAACGGUUAACUUA